UACGUAGGGUGCAAGCGUUAAUCGGAGUUACUGGGCGUAAAGCGUGCGCAGGCGGUUUUGUAAGUCUGUCGUGAAAUCCCCGGGCUUAACCUGGGAAUGGCGAUGGAGACUGCAAGGCUAGAGUUUGGCAGAGGGGGGUAGAAUUCCACGUGUAGCAGUGAAAUGCGUAGAGAUGUGGAGGAACACCGAUGGCGAAGGCAGCCCCCUGGGUCAAGACUGACGCUCAUGCACGAAAGCGUGGGGAGCAAACAGG
rnacentral:rRNA from 1 species